rnacentral:rRNA from 2 species
UCGAGAAUUUUUCUCAAUGGGGGAAACCCUGAAGGAGCGACGCCGCGUGGGGGAUGAAUGGCUUCGGCCCGUAAACCCCUGUCAUUUGCGAUCAAACCUUACGACCUAACACGUCGUAAGCUGAUAGUAGCGGAAGAGGAAGGGACGGCUAACUCUGUGCCAGCAGCCGCGGUAAUACAGAGGUCCCAAGCGUUGUUCGGAUUCACUGGGCGUAAAGGGUGCGUAGGCGGUCGGGUAAGUCUGACGUGAAAUCUUCAAGCUCAACUUGGAAACUGCGUCGGAUACUAUUCGGCUAGAGGAAUGGAGGGGAGACUGGAAUACUUGGUGUAGCAGUGAAAUGCGUAGAUAUCAAGUGGAACACCAGUGGCGAAGGCGAGUCUCUGGACAUUUCCUGACGCUGAGGCACGAAAGCCAGGGGAGCAAACGGG